CACCUCCGCCCUGGAGAGGAGAGGACGGGUCUGCCCAGGGGCUGGAACUCUGGGCCAUCCCUUUGUCCUCCUCUACCGGAAGCCCCUUCUGGAAGGUCUCUCUCACCUGACCCUUGCUGGUUCCUGCCCUGCCUCUGACUGAAAAGGGGAAGCAGUGAAGGAAACAGCAGCCACAGUAAAGCAGACACUCGUUACGCCGGUGCCAGUAUCCCCAGCCCCGUCUCGUGUGUUAAGGGGACCUAAAGGCUGUCCUGCUUCUACACUCUGGCAAACAGGAUGGGCAGGUGAAGCCUGGAGGCUACUAGGGUCGGCUGUGACCAGGGCCAUGGCUGUACCAUGAUAUUAAGUACCUGCCACGUGCCUGCUGCAGGGAUGGAUCACAUGGACACAGAGG
rnacentral:lncRNA from 1 species